rnacentral:rRNA from 1 species
UAGGGAAUCUUCCACAAUGGACGCAAGUCUGAUGGAGCAACGCCGCGUGAGUGAAGAAGGUUUUCGGACCGUAAAGCUCUGUUGUUGGUGAAGAAGGAUAGAGGUAGUAACUGGCCUUUAUUUGACGGUAAUCAACCAGAAAGUCACGGCUAACUACGUGCCAGCAGCCGCGGUAAUACGUAGGUGGCAAGCGUUGUCCGGAUUUAUUGGGCGUAAAGCGAGCGCAGGCGGAAGAAUAAGUCUGAUGUGAAAGCCCUCGGCUUAACCGAGGAAUUGCAUCGGAAACUGUUUUCUUGAGUGCAGAAGAGGAGAGUAGAACUCCAUGUGUAGCGGUGGAAUGCGUAGAUAUAUGGAAGAAUACCAGUGGCGAAGGCGGCUCCUG